rnacentral:rRNA from 1 species
GACGAACGCUGGCGGCGUGCUUAACACAUGCAAGUCGAGCGGUAAGGCCCUUUGGGGUACACGAGCGGCGAACGGGUGAGUAACACGCGAGUAAUCUGCCUUUGGCUUGGGAAUAACUUCGGGAAAUCGGGGCUAAUGCCUGAUGUUUACUGUCUGCUGCAUGGUGGGUGGUGGAAAGAUUUUUUGGCCGAGGAGUGAGCUCGCGGUCUAUCAGCUUGUU